rnacentral:rRNA from 1 species
GAGACGGUGACGUUUCAGCAAAUACCCAAAAAUAAACGUCCCAGUUCGGAUUGUAGUCUGCAACUCGACUACAUGAAGCUGGAAUCGCUAGUAAUCGCGAAUCAGAAUGUCGCGGUGAAUACGUUCCCGGGUCUUGUACACACCGCCCGUCACACCAUGGGAGUCGGAAAUGCCCGAAGUCAGUGACCCAACCGAAAGGAGGGAGCUGCCGAAGGUGGAGCCGGUAACUGGGGUGAAGUCGUAACAAGGUAUC